rnacentral:rRNA from 1 species
CUAUCGACAGGCUUAACACAUGCAAGUCGAGGGGCAGCACAGGUAGCAAUACCGGGUGGCGACCGGCGCACGGGUGAGUAACGCGUACGCAACUUGCCUAUCAGAGGGGGAUAACCCGGCGAAAGUCGGACUAAUACCGCAUGAAGCAGGGAUCCCGCAUGGGAAUAUUUGCUAAAGAUUCAUCGCUGAUAGAUAGGCAUGCGUUCCAUUAGGCAGUUGGCGGGGUAACGGCCCACCAAACCGACGAUGGAUAGGGGUUCUGAGAGGAAGGUCCCCCACAUUGGUACUGAGACACGGACCAAACUCCUACGGGAGGCAGCAGUGAGGAAUAUUGGUCAAUGGCCGAGAGGCUGAACCAGCCAAGUCGCGUGAGGGAUGAAGGUUCUAUGGAUCGUAAACCUCUUUUAUAAGGGAAUAAAGUGCGGGACGUGUCCCGUUUUGUAUGUACCUUAUGAAUAAGGAUCGGCUAACUCCGUGCCAGCAGCCGCGGUAAUACGGAGGAUCCGAGCGUUAUCCGGAUUUAUUGGGUUUAAAGGGUGCGUAGGCGGCCUUUUAAGUCAGCGGUGAAAGUCUGUGGCUCAACCAUAGAAUUGCCGUUGAAACUGGGGGGCUUGAGUAUGUUUGAGGCAGGCGGAAUGCGUGGUGUAGCGGUGAAAUGCAUAGAUAUCACGCAGAACCCCGAUUGCGAAGGCAGCCUGCCAAGCCAUGACUGACGCUGAUGCACGAAAGCGUGGGGAUCAAACAGGAUUAGAUACCCUGGUAGUCCACGCAGUAAACGAUGAUCACUAGCUGUUUGCGAUACACUGUAAGCGGCACAGCGAAAGCGUUAAGUGAUCCACCUGGGGAGUACGCCGGCAACGGUGAAACUCAAAGGAAUUGACGGGGGCCCGCACAAGCGGAGGAACAUGUGGUUUAAUUCGAUGAUACGCGAGGAACCUUACCCGGGUUUGAACGCAUUCGGACCGAGGUGGAAACACCUUUUCUAGCAAUAGCCGUUUGCGAGGUGCUGCAUGGUUGUCGUCAGCUCGUGCCGUGAGGUGUCGGCUUAAGUGCCAUAACGAGCGCAACCCUUGCCACUAGUUACUAACAGGUAAAGCUGAGGACUCUGGUGGGACUGCCAGCGUAAGCUGCGAGGAAGGCGGGGAUGACGUCAAAUCAGCACGGCCCUUACAUCCGGGGCGACACACGUGUUACAAUGGCGUGGACAAAGGGAAGCCACCUGGCGACAGGGAGCGAAUCCCCAAACCACGUCUCAGUUCGGAUCGGAGUCUGCAACCCGACUCCGUGAAGCUGGAUUCGCUAGUAAUCGCGCAUCAGCCAUGGCGCGGUGAAUACGUUCCCGGGCCUUGUACACACCGCCCGUCAAGCCAUGGGAGCCGGGGGUACCUGAAGUCCGUAACCGCGAGGAUCGGCCUAGGGUAAAACUGGUGACUGG